AUGGACGAGGACUUGAUGCAUGCUCUUGUUCAAUUCUCUCAUGCAAGGCGUUUUUGGGAGGAGGCGAGAUUGCUCUUCGAGAUUAACCUGCCACGGCUCCAUCCCAGCACUUGGGCACGUGAUAUCCUUUGUGAUAUCCAAUUUAUAGACAAGGAUCGUGCAACAAUCAUUACUGUCAUGUGGGCUAUCUGGAUGUCUCACAACAAGAGGACACACGAUCAGGAGAUCAUUGAUCCAGCUACCUCGAGCUUCAUACCGCUGCCGGGUCACGGUUGGUGGCCCCCUGAAGCUGACUUUGUAAAGAUCAACAUGGACGCUGCUAUACAUCGCGAUGCCGGCAACCCCGGCGUGGGGGGAGUAGCCCGCUCUUCCUCGGCAUUCCUGGGCGCAUGGUGCAAACCCCACCUGGGGGUCACGGAUCCCUUCAUUGCUGAAGUGCUCUCCUUGCGUGAGGGCGUCAUCUUCACGAAGCUUCGAGGCUACACGCACGUGCGACUGAAAUCCGAUUGUCUCGAGGCAGUUAACCUCUGGAACUCUAGCUACACCGACCGCUCGUAUAAACCAGAAGGGCUUCUUGACAGUGUAAGCUCAUAUGUGUAUGAGAAUGACAGAGCAUCACGUGGUGAGGGGCCAAAGGAGGAUAAACCAUCGACCGCUGCAUUAGUUGAUGCAAACAGCCAGAUAUUUCGUGUGUUGUGGAAGGACGUCGAUGUCCUUCAACUUAGCUCUUCUUCGCUUUUUAUUUUGGUCAUGACUUUAAAACGUUGCGCUCUCUCUCAUGUCCGCCCCGCCACUGCAUCUUCGCCGGCGCGCCUCCCGCCGGCCCCCUGCUACCUCAUUCCAUCUCUUGCCCUCCGCCGCCGUUCUACCCGUCGGCCAACCCAUUCGGCCCCCAUCGCCGUCCCCGGAAUCAAGCAGCCGCCGCAUCCCACCUUGCUUGCGCACCACUGCAGGUCACCCGCCGCUCGUCGGUUCGAUCUAAACCACGUCGGCCGGCUUGUGCACCACCACCGCACCCCAAGUGUUCGAAGAAUCGCCUUGAGACCACGAGCUCUUCUCCAAGCCACCGCUCCGCUCUGCAGGACUCCUCCUGACCCUGCUGCCCCCCUGGAUCUCGGCCCUGCCCGCUGCCAUUGCCUCUGCUGCCACUGCCCUCCCCCCCUGGCCACCUACCUACCUACUGCUACGACUACCACCACACUUGUCUUGAGCCGCUCGGAUUGGAUCGCCUCGGUUCGAGCCCCGUCCGUGCGUCAGCGUGAGUGCUCCCGUUCCUCGAUCGAUUUGUGCUUCUGGCUUUGCUUCUUGUUCUUGAUUUGGUUCCGGUGCCCCUGUUCUGUUCUGUUCCCCGCGAGGAAGAUCUGA
rnacentral:rRNA from 1 species